rnacentral:rRNA from 1 species
UACGGGGGGGCAAGGCGUUGUUCGGAAUUACUGGGCGUAAAGGGCUCGUAGGUGGCCAACUAAGUCUAGACGUGAAAUCCCUCGGCUUAACCGGGGAACUGCGUCUGAUACUGGAUGGCUUGAGUUUGGGAGAGGGAUGCGGAAUUCCAGGUGUAGCGGUGAAAUGCGUAGAUAUCUGGAGGAACACCGGUGGCGAAGGCGGCAUCCUGGACCAACACUGACACUGAGGAGCGAAAGCCAGGGGAGCAAACGGG